UACGUAGGGGGCAAGCGUUGUCCGGAUGUAUUGGGCGUAAAGAGCGUGUAGGCGGCCAGACAGGUCAGCUGUGAAAACUCGAGGCUCAACCUCGAGACGUCGGCGGAAACCAUCUGGCUAGAGUCCGGAAGAGGAGAGUGGAAUUCCUGGUGUAGCGGUGAAAUGCGCAGAUAUCAGGAAGAACACCCGUGGCGAAGGCGGCUCUCUGGGACGGUACUGACGCUGAGACGCGAAAGCGUGGGGAGCGAACAGG
rnacentral:rRNA from 1 species